rnacentral:rRNA from 1 species
UACAGGAGGUCCCAAGCGUUGUUCGGAUUCACUGGGCGUAAAGGGUGCGUAGGCGGUCGGGUAAGUCUGAUGUGAAAUCCUCACGAGCUUAACUGUGAAACUGCAUUGGAUACUAUUCGGCUUGAGAGUUGGAGGGGGACUGGAAUUCUUGGUGUAGCAGUGAAAUGCGUAGAUAUCAAGAGGAACACCAGUGGCGAAGGCGAGUCCCUGGACAACUUCUGACGCUGAGGCACGAAAGCUAGGGGAGCAAACAGG